rnacentral:rRNA from 1 species
GACGAACGCUGGCGGCGUGCCUAAUACAUGCAAGUUGAGCGCUUAAGGUUGGUACUUGUACCACCUGGAUGAGCAGCGAACGGGUGAGUAACGCGUGGUGAAUCUUCCUUUGAGCGGGGGACAACAUUUGGAAACGAAUGCUAAUACCGCAUAAAAACUUUAAACACAAUUUUUAAGUUUGAAAGAUGCAAUUGCAUCACUCAAAGAUGAUCCCGCGUUGUAUUAGCUAGUUGGUGAGGUAAAGGCUCACCAAGGCGAUGAUACAUAGCCGACCUGAGAGGGUGAUCGGCCACAUUGGGACUGAGACACGGCCCAAACUCCUACGGGAGGGAGCAGUAGGGAAUCUUCGGCAAUGGACGAAAGUCUGACCGAGCAACGCCGCGUGAGUGAAGAAGGUUUUCGGAUCGUAAAACUCUGUUGGUAGAGAAGAACGUUGGUGAGAGUGGAAAGCUCAUCAAGUGACGGUAACUACCCAGAAAGGGACGGCUAACUACGUG